UUUUGAAUGUCUUGUCACUGAACUCUACUUUUCUCACGUUGAUAAAAAUGUUCAAUUCCAGGCUUUGAAUUGUUAGUAGUUGAAUGUGCUACAGGCCAGAGAGAUGCACGGUUGAGUGACGCUACCCGCACAAAACAGCUAUGACUAACUUCAGAGGAUGAGCGCCUGUUUUAUAUGCUUCUACCUGGGGAGACUCUCCCCUCUACC